CUUUUAGAAUGAGAUACGAGGAAAUAUUAUGUUGUUAAACUCACAAAACAUAAUUUCACAUUAUACUUGAAUACUUUGACCUCUGACAUUGACACAAACAAAUAAACAUAUGACGUUUGUUGAAUGAAACUUGGUGCAAAACAACAGAUUAGAGCUGUAAAUCCCAUAUCAUCUGCAUAGAAGAGUUUAAAACCACGUACAAUGCAAAAAGAGGUCUCGCAAAAUAGUCUCUUGUAAUUCUUUUUAAUGGAAUAUUUCCUCUAUUUGUCAGUUUUAACUUGUUAGAGAUUGAGAAAUGCAUAUUUACGUCAUAAUAUACUGUGCACACUGGAAAAAAUGCCCCUCUAAAACAAGUUAAAAAGUUAAAACAAGAUAUUUUUGCUUGAAUUAAGCAAAAAAAAUGGAACAGAUGAAAAUUAUCUAGGUAUGAUCUCUUGAAAUAGCAUUUUCCAGACCUAUUGUCUAAAAAUCAGUUCUUCUAUCUCACUGAAAACUUACUCUUUAGGUGAUUCUGUCUUAUUUUAAGUGUGAUGAGAUAUUUGGACUAGAAAUGAAAAAAAAUACACUUGGUAAGAUUUAGAUUUUUUCCAGUGCAUUCUUUAAAAUUGUGCUAAACAACAAACCUAUUAUUAAAGUUCAUCGAAAAUA